UCUGAUGGUUAAGAAUCUGCCUGCAAUGCAGGAGACCCAGGUUCAAACCCUGG
rnacentral:tRNA from 1 species